GAAAAUGUCUAAAAAUUUCUUAUAUAAAAUUUCACUCAAAAAAUUUCCCCAAAUAUUAGAAUUAAUGGAAAUAUUUCCCACCCAAUACAAUAAUCACAAUAAUCUAAUGAAAUCAUGUCCUUUCCCCAAUUCUUUUCUCUCACUGCAGCUUCACCUUAAUUGCCUCCUUAACCUAAUUCAUUCCUUCCAAUUAUCUCUUGCAUGUGUCUUCUGAUUACUCUCACCCAUAUAUUACAAAUCUCCAUCCUUUUCUCUAUUGGUAAGUAUUUUUGUGCUCAAAACUUUACUUUUUUUGUUUUCAAUUUUUAGUUUUAUUCUUAUACUUUUAGAUUCAUUUUUUAGUUCUUUUACUAAUUUAGAUGAACAAUAAUCUUUUAUUGUGUAUAAUAUUUGGGUAUCUCGGUAUAAUCUUUGUUUUAUACUCAAAGUUUUAAACUUUUAUAAUCUUAGAUUCUUGGGCCAAAAAUAAGUAAUUUUGUUUUGUUUAAUUUUUAGGUAUGCUUCGUUAGUUGGGGUUUUGGUUUAUACUAAUUUGUACUGUAAAUUUAUUGAUAUGUACUGUUUUGGACCUUUAUUUUUUUGUUUUUUUUUUUGUAAAAUCUACUAGGCAAUAUGCCUAGGGCUAGUUUUUUAUAUAUAAAGAAAAACACAAAUCCUGUGAAAUAGAAGGCAUAGACUUUGUAGAAUACAUAUGUCCUAUUAUUAAAAUUGAGUAGUGCACUCAAAUUUGAUAUCACAACGACUCUAAUACCCUUUUUAUAUGACACUCAUUAGCAGCCCAAUCCAUAUGUGUGUAUUUGUAGCCAAUGUUAUUUUCCCUUGUAGUUGUCGACAGUAGAACCCCAACUAUAUCCAAUUCUAAGCCUCCCCAAGCCCAACUGCUGGUCCAUUUAUGUAUUGCAUUUGUGUAGAUACUCCCCUUGUUACAUGUGUUGUUUUUAUUUGCUCGUCUUUAUUAUCAACAUAGGAAGUAACGACCUCCCAUCUUCUUACUUUGAGUCUUAGUGUUGUUCCAGUUUUUCCAUGGAGUUUGGUGGUCCGCCAUUGCAUCACACUGUUAUUCCACCUUCCCCGGAGCUCAGGUGUAUACCUGUAGUUGCUAUCUGCUGCAUGUGGAUGUAUUGUUGUCUUAAUGCCUGGAUAUAGUUCAGAUCGACUAUCAUUGUUGCAUUUCUUUCGCUGAUGAAAAGUGGAUUGCCAAGACCUAUAUAUGAUGGUACUACAUAGCUGAAUGCCUGCUUUGCCUCCUUUGUAUUGCAUGUUGAGGAUUUUGCCAACUGUGCUGCAUUACUGCCCAAAAUUCCUUGCACAAUCCUGUAAUUUCUGUAGCUCGGCCUGCUCAUGAUGCAGGCUGUCACUAUGAUGCGUAUGCUUAUAACAUUUCCUUCUUCUAGGGAAUGAGCACAUAAUGCUAAUAUCACCCAUAGAAGUUGUAAUGAGUGAUAAGGACCAAUGUUAUUAGCUUUUCUUGCAAAAAAGAAAGUAAUGUUAAAGUAAAAGAUGGUCUUCAUCACCUCUUCUUGUUGUAUUUUGCUUUUUUGUUUUGUUUCUUGUUUUUCAUGAGAAUAAUGAGUCCUCAAAUAUGCCUGGCUCCCUGUAUGUUGUGCAUUGUGUCCCUCCAUAUGUUGAUCUGUUUUUUUCCACAGGUGCAUCAUCCAGCUGAUUUCCCUUUUCUCAGAAGAUCGACGAUCUACUGUCUGCAUGCUGUGUGCAUGUGUGACUUCAUUACUUUCAUUGCUUUCAUUUAGUGUUUGUUGUUGUUGUGCUUCUUUUGUGAGUGUCUUCUUGGUCUGAAAUUGAUUAGUACCACUGUAGCUCACAUAAGUGAAAACCUGAAUGUGCAUUUGCUCCCCAUGCUUCUUUAUGUCUCGAGUUAUCAUGCUUGUGCCUUCCCUUGCUUCCCUCUCCAUGGGUUGAGUACAAAGUACUGAUACCACCAAGUGAGAGUUGUUCAAAGGGUAGGGCAUGAUCACAGUAACAUUCCCUGCAAAAAAAAAAAAAAAUUAGGUUAGUAAUAAAAUCCAGCUUUCCUCUUGUUCCUACUACUCCUUUCCUCCUCUCCUCCUAUCAUCCUGUAACCUUUACUCUAAUGUAUGGACAUUGACUUUUAUCACUAUUCACAAUUUUCCUCCCAUUGACAUCCAAAUCUCCAAAUUCAGUACAUUCCAUUAUGCCAACAUUUAAAGUAUAAUUGGCUAUAUGAUCUGCCAGCUGAUUUCCUUCUCUCAGUGAGUGAGAGAUCCUGAGUGUGCAUCUGUUCAUUAGUUCCAUUAUUUCCUCCACAUAAGCUACCACAGACCAUGGAGCAUUCCAUUCACCCGUUAUGAUUUUAUUUGCUAGCAUUGACUCUGUGUGCAGGUCAAUUAGAAUAUAAUCAUGUUCAAUGCAGUAUCUUAAGGCUUCCAAGAUAGCUUGCAUUUCAGCAUAUGUAUUAGUACCCUCCUGCACUUCUCUACCAUAGACAUAGACUACAUUUCCUUCAUCAUUCCUUAGAACAUAGCCUAUAAAGCUUCUUCCUGGAUUACCCCUAGAAGCUCCAUCAGCAUUAACCUUUAUCCAACCUUCCUCAGGUAACUCCCAUAACACCUUAGUGUAUUUUAACUUAGGUGUGUAGUAUUCCAGCAAUUGCAGCAAGUCUGACCAUUUAUGUGGUACAUUUUGCAAAUUUGGCUUCUUGAAUUUCACCAGAUACUGAAUUGUAGUUGAUACAAGGUAAAUGACUAUAUUCCAUGUGACUGCUUCUCCCUGUUUAAAUGAGUUUCUCCUUUUCCAUAAUUUCCACACAAUAAUCGAAGGUAAACCUGCACAAUUGGUUGCAGCCUUGGGAUCACCAAUGCAGUCCAACAUUUCACCAUUGCUUGGUGUAAUGUUAUUCUUGCAAUAUUAAUUCCUGUCGCUGUCUCCACUCUCCACACCUUCCUGGUAGUAUAGGAAGUGAAAAGAAAAUGAGUGAGAGUUUCUUCCUGUGGUAGCACACAACACCAGCAUCUGGAAGGCAUAUGAAAUCCUAUUCUCAUGAAAAAAACAUCUAGAGGCAAUUUGUUCUUCCAAACCUUCCAGAUAAAGAAUGAUACCUUAAAAGGUAAUCCUUUCACCCAAAUCAUCCUAUAGGCUCUACUAGGAUCCCUCCUUCUCUUGGAGUAAUCCCAGGCAGACCUCACACUAAAUUCUCCCCUUGUUUCCACCAUCCAAAAUGGUUUAUCCAACACCAUAUUUUCUGUUGGAGGUUUAAUGUUCUACAAUAUAUGACUAGCCAGGUCUGUAGGUAACAGGUUCCUCAAUUUAUGUUCAUUCCAGCUCCUCCCAUUUAUGACUUCAUUAACAUUUUGAACUGACUCAUCACAGAAAAAAUCAGGUGAUGUAAAGAAAUAUAAAGCUACCAAACUAGUCCAAUUUUCAAACUAAAAGAGUGCAGAACCCAUUUUAGGCUGCCACAUGGUUUGGUGUUCAAUGCUAUCUCUACACUUUAGCAUUUUUCUCUAGAUGUGAGAUCUAUAUUUCCAUGGAACAACAGUGGGAUUUAACUUUUUGCAGUACUUUUGACAUAUGAAUGCACUCCAGUGAUGAUUUUGUUCUAAAAUUCCACCAUAACUUACAAAAUAGUGCCUUAGAGACAUCAUGUAGUGAUCUUAAACGAAUUUCCCCUUCCUCAUGUGGUAAGCAUAAUGUAUCCAAUGAAGCCCAACGUCUACUGCCUCCUUCUAUUGAACUGCUCCAGAAAAAUCUAGCCAUAAGUUUGUGCAAUUUAUUAAUCACAGAUGCUGGUGCAUUAACUGCAGACAGUAUAUGAAUAGGCAUACUAUAAAUCACAUGAGAGAUUAACACUACCCUUCCCCAUAUUGACAGCAUUUUGCCCUUCCAAGAUUGUAGUUUAUCCAGCACUUUCUUAAUUAGGCCAUUAUAGUAUUCCAUUUUUCUUCUGACAUAAAAAAUAGGACAUCCCAAGUAGGUAAAUAGGAAUUCCCGUGUCUUCAUCCCUGUCACCCUUUCCACCUUGUUGAUCACUGAUUCAUUGGUAACAUGAUGCAAGUAAAUUACAGAUUUACUUGUACUGAUCACUUGCCCUGAAGCUGCUUCAUAUGCUGCUAAAACCUGCAUAUUAGCUGCAGUAAAGUUUCAUCUGAUGAGGAAAAUAUUAUAGUAUCAUCUACAUAUGCCAAGUGAUUAAUCUUAGGGCUCCAUUUAGAUAACCCAAAGCCACAAAAAUAUAGAUUGGAGUGCAAUUCAUUUAACCCUCUUGACAAAGCUUCUGUUGCGAGAAUAAACAAUGUAGGUGAUAAGGAGUCUCCUUGCUUUACCCCUCUGGUAGAGUUGAAAAAACCAUUUGGCUGCCCAUUGAUCAAAAUUAAAUACCAGUUAUUAGAUAUCAACCCAAACACCCGGCCUAUAAAUCUUUUAGAAAACCCCAUCUUUCUUAGCACUUUAGUCAAAAAUAUCCAUGAAAGUCUGUCAUAAGCCUUCAUAAUAUCCAGCUUUAUUACCACAUUUAGUCCUGCCUUAGUUCUCAGCCUUAUAUCAGUUACAAUCUCCUGUGUCAAUAGGACAUUCUCUACAAUUCUUCUACCCAUUACAAAACCUUCUUGCUCAUCAGAUAUUAGGUUAGGUAAUAGACCAGCUAACCUCUAAUGAAUGACUCUUAAAAAGAUCUUUUUGACAAAGUUGCUGAAACUGAUUGGUCUCAUAUCAGAAAAAUGUGCACACCUCCUUCAUCUUAGGUAUCAAGACUAGGUUUGUAUGAGUGAUAAACCUACGUAAUUCUUGUCCAUUAAAGAAAGUCCUUACCAUUUAUACAAUGUCAUCACCUAUAAUUUCCCAACAGCUACGAAAGAAGCUACCAUUAAAACUAUCGGGGCCUCCUGCACUAUCACCAUUAAGUCCAUAUACUGCUUGCUUAACCUCAUCUCUAGUAGGUUUCCUCAAUAGUUCCUGAUUUUAUUCUGCAGUCACUAUGUGUGGCACAUGGUCAAUGAUUCUAAAAUUUGUUGGAACAACCUCUUCAUGAAAUUAUUUAUGGAAGAACUGUACAUCCUCAUUAGCCAAUUCUUCUCUAUCAUCUAUCCAGACUCCUUGAGCAUCUUGUAGUCUUUUCAGCUGUAGUCUCUUUCUUCUCCCAUUCACAUGAGCAUGGAAAAUUUUUGUAUUUCUGUCUCCAUCACUAAUCCAGUUCAUACCAGACUUUUGCUUCCAAAACUUCUCCUCCAAGGCCAAAUAUUUGAAUAGAUCAGCUUGUACCUUUUUAAGUCUCUCCUUGUUCUGUAGCGUAGGAAGUAACUCAAAUUGAGCUUCAUGCACUCUAACUAUCUCCUCCAAAGUAGCUAUUUUCUAAAAUAUGUCCCCAAAUGUAGCCCUACUCCAUAUCGACAAUGCUUUCUUCAGUUUUUUUUUAUCUUGUGAUUAAAUAGAAUGAAGGGAUUUGCAUGGAAAUCAGCAUGCCAAUUCUCUUGCACUACUGACUUGAAUGACUCUUGUUUAGUCCAAAACUUCACAAACCUGAAGCUUUUCUUUAUUGGAACUGAAUCUAGUUUGUAUGUGAUCAAAAGUGUGCAAUGAUCAGAACCAAUCUUGGACAGGUGAGACUUCCAUUCCUUGCCAUACCUGUUGAGCUUCGAAGUUAGCAAAUACCCUGUCCAAUCUCUUGAAAAUACAAUCAUCUUCUGCACAACCAUUCCACCAAGUAUAUAUGCUUCCCUUAUAGCCAAUAUCUGAUAAGUUACAUGUAUUCAUACAAUGUCAAAAAUAAUCAACUUCAUUUGGUGGUACUGGCAGCCCUCCAAACUUCUCCUCUUCAUCCCAGAUUACAUUGAAAUCCCCUCCCACUAGCCAUGGCAUAGUCAUAUCCCUAGCUAGGUGGUAAGAGAGUCCCAUAGUUCAAUUCUCUCAAUGUGAUCACAUUUAGCAUAUAUCAGAGUGAUCAUGAAUUCCUUCUGUUCUUCUGUAUCAUAUAAUUUCAAAGUUAAUUGUUUUACUGAAUUGAUUUUCGUUGUCACAUCAUAUUUACCAUCUAUAAAGGCCUAGAUCUUGUUAGAUGUAUUAACAAAGGCUUGUUCAAAAUCAAUCUCCCUCAUGUAUCUAUCCAACUUCUUUGAUUGGUGCAUUGGUUCCGUUAAUCCUAUGAAAUCAAAAUGGUGUUCUCUAUGCAUUGUUAUCAGUCUUUCAAAGGCUCUUUGAGUUUUGACUAACCUAGUAUUCCAUAUUAAAGCAUUCAUCUCUAAUUAAUGGAUUUAGAUAAAGUCCUCCUUGUUUGGACCCCAGCUGGUAAACUACUAGGGACCUCUUUCACCUGUUUUUUCUUGCCUCUUCCUACUAAUCUACCCUUUUCCAUGUACCUAGAUGAUAUAUGCCCUUGCCUAGCCACAUUUCUAAAAUUUUGACAGGUUGACUCUGCAUCUAGAUCUUUUUCUUUUCCCACUGCUUCAUCCUCCAUGUUUCUUUUUUUUUUUCCUGUAACAAUCUGAUUUUCAAUUGGCUUGAGUAUCAUGAUUUUAUCUACAUUUCCUUUAGCCAACUGAUUAGGAGUCUGAUCAUUAUCAUUCUGCACAUCAAUAACUACUGUUUCCUUUUCAACCACUCCAUCCUUUACUAGCUUUUGUUACAUCUCGCCUUUUAUAGUAUCACCAAGAUCAAUUGGUUCAGUAACUUAGGACCAUGGUAGGAUCCAUGGUUAAGUUAGGAUUGUCAGGCUGCUGAACCUUAGAAAUUAAUCCUGCAAUCUCAACUGAAUUAUCAUAUUUAUCUUCAGUAUUUUCAUCUGUUUGUAAAUCUCCUUUAUGAUUGUUCCCAUUGACAAUGACUUCUUACUGUUGAGCCUCCUCUUCUGGUGACACUUCCUCUUCAUAUCCUUCAGAUAAAUCACCUUCAUCUAGAUCUUCUUCUGUCUGAUUAGUCCAUAGUUUUCCUCCUGUCCAAUUUACUUUUUGUUUCAGCACUUCCUGCUUAGCUAUUUCUUUUGGAUAUGUUGUCAGUGAUGCUAUAUCCUGACAUGAAUGAUUCUUAGUAAUAUUGUUGAUUACAAAAGUUCUAUUAACCUAUUGAGUCGUGGACUCUUUUCUUUGUUCAUGGUUCCUCUCUCUUGUAUGUUCUGCUUCCUUUGUACCAUUCUUCUCCUUUCUUGACUUAGUUCCAGCUGCCUUAGGCUUAAAGCAGCUGAUGCAUUGAGGGAUCUCCCUGUUGCCUGAGUAGCUGUUGUUAGACUUGACACAUUGGUAGGGUGCACUAAUGCUCUAGUUGAUUAGCUUCAUUUGUUUCACCUUCUUCAUUCAUUAGAACUGCAAACUUGUUUGUCAAUUGAACCUGCUGAAUAUCUGUCACAAUAGCUGCAGUCAUCUCUUUGCCAGUGAUAUUUCGCUGUUUUGCUGAUUAAUGAUAAUCUCUGUGGGGGCUAUUUCCUUCCCUGUAGUACCUCCACUUUUUUUCACUUUCUUAGGAUCAACUAAAUAAUUUCUUUAGCCGUUUGGACUUGAUCAACAACCUGUUUUGCAUUAUUCCUCAAUCGAUUGUCCCUCACUUCUUUCAACUGUUCUCCAACAUUCCCAACCACCUUUCCACUAGUUAAUAUCAUAAUUGGAUUCUUUGCAUUAUUCUGACUAUCACUCCUAAUAUUAUCUGCAUUUUUCUCCUUGUCAAAUUCCACAAAGAGUUUUGGAUGCAAUCUCCAACAGGUUUCCUCGUUGUGGCCUUGCAAUUUACACUCCUUUCUAUACUUAGGAACAUAUUCAUAUUACACCUUCAUCCAUUGAGUUCUCACCUUUCCAUUAGUCUCAUCCACAAUUCCAUUCUUACUCUUUGAGGUAAUUCUUCUGAUAAGUCAAUUUGCACCUUAACUCGUGCACAAUUUGGUCUUGUUUUGUUUACUUCAGCCAUGUCUAAGUGCAAAGGGAUGCCAACAGCUGAAGCUAAAGAAAAUAAGCACUUUGACAAAGAAGGUAGGUAAUAAAUUUGGAAACGAAAUCCAUUCCAUCACCUUAGGUGUUUCUUGACCUAUCUUGAAUUUGUAAUCAUAAAUCAAGGUUCUCAUCAGAUAUUCAUACCCGUCCUUAGCUUUUAAAUAAAUAGCUCCCUUAGAUGAAAGAUUAGUGAAGUCCUCUAACAAUGUUAAUCUAAUUAAUACAUGACGAUCUCUCAACAAACCAAUAUUACACUCACACGUGAUCCCACAUUGAAUUGGAAGGAUUCGUCUGAUCUCCUGCAAAUCUGGCUAACCAUAAAAAUUUUUUACAAGAACUGCAUAUUGAAGUCCCUGGAUUAUAUUCAUCUUCUCCACUUCUGCUUUCGUCCACUUGAUUAUGGGUUGUCCAUUAACGUAUUCCACAGGUUUCCUGGGAAUUGGGUUGACGGAGUUUGCUAUUGAACUCGACAUAUACAUGGCAGUAUUUAAUGUAGCAAGUUUCAAUAGUUUCGAGUAUUCUAAAGGCUUGAUGUUGUUGUUUGUGAUCGUUGGGGGCUGGACAGUGAUGAUGGGAGGCUGACCAGUCAGAAAUGGCUAGCCGCCGGCCAGAUUGGCAUUGGAAGCAAAACGCGAAGCUUGCUCUCUCUAGAUCACCAAAAUCGCUAGAACCUCUUUCUCUAGACUCCAACUCAAGAGUUCUCCUAUACUAUAUUAACUGCUUAUAAUAUAAAAGAGUAUUUUCUUUUUUAG
rnacentral:lncRNA from 1 species